rnacentral:rRNA from 1 species
UACGAGAAAGAGUCCUUCGGGGCUUGAGUAAAGUGGCGCACGGGUGAGUAACGCGUGGAUAAUCUGCCCUUCAGCUGGGAAUAACUCAUCGAAAGGUGGGCUAAUACCGAAUAACACUGUGAGACUUUGGUCGAUCAGUCAAAGAGAGCCUCUGCUUGCAUGCCCUCGCUGAAGGAUGAGUCCGCGUACCAUUAGCUAGUUGGCAGGGUAAUGGCCUACCAAGGCGACGAUGGUUAGCUGGUCUGAGAGGAUGAUCAGCCACACUGGAACUGAGACACGGUCCAGACUCCUACGGGAGGCAGCAGUGAGGAAUCUUGCGCAAUGGGGGCAACCCUGACGCAGCAACGCCGCGUGAGUGAGGAAGGUCUUCGGAUCGUAAAGCUCUGUCAGAUGGAAAGAACCGCAUGGGGGUGAAUAUCCCCUAUGUCUGACGGUACCAUCAAAGGAAGCACCGGCUAACUCCGUGCCAGCAGCCGCGGUAAUACGGGGGGUGCAAGCGUUGUUCGGAAUUAUUGGGCGUAAAGAGCGUGUAGGCGGCCGGAUGUGUCAGAUGUGAAAGCCCUGGGCUUAACCCAGGAAGUGCAUUUGAAACUGUCCGGCCUGAGUAGGGGAGAGGGAAGUGGAAUUCCUGGUGUAGAGGUGAAAUUCGUAGAUAUCAGGAGGAACACCGGUGGCGAAGGCGACUUCCUGGCCCUAUACUGACGCUGAGACGCGAGAGCGUGGGUAGCAAACAGGAU